AUGACGACUCACGGCCGUAGAGCAAAUAAAUAGCAGGAUGAAGAGAACGAAACAACUACAAACAGUAAAGAAGGUGGGAGUGUGUGGAAGGUGGACUUUGGCUGCAGUAACAAGGUACCUUGAGACACUAACCUGUGACAAGGACGAAUGCUUCGUAGGAGUUCACUCCUGAAACUGCUCAUCAUAUCCAACAUCAUG